CUGCCGGUGACAAACCGGAGGAAGGUGGGGAUGACGUCAAGUCAUCAUGGCCCUUACGGCCAGGGCUACACACGUGCUACAAUGGUCGGUACAAAGGGUUGCCAAGCCGCGAGGUGGAGCUAAUCCCAUAAAACCGAUCGUAGUCCGGAUCGCAGUCUGCAACUCGACUGCGUGAAGUCGGAAUCGCUAGUAAUCGUGAAUCAGAAUGUCACGGUGAAUACGUUCCCGGGCCUUGUACACACCGCCCGUCACACCAUGGGAGUGGGUUGCUCCAGAAGUAGCUAGUCUAACCGCAAGGGGGACGGUUACCACGGAGUGAUUCAUGACUGGGGUGAAGUCGUAACA
rnacentral:rRNA from 1 species